GUCCCUGGAGGAUAGUGUUUAGGCCUCAGCACUCUCACCACUGUGGCCCGGGUUCGAUUCCCAGCCAGGGACC